rnacentral:misc_RNA from 1 species
AACUUCUCCUACCCAACACGAGCAGGACAGAAAGUUUUAAAGGACUUCAGUCUGAAGGUUCCUAGAGGAACUGUGGUAGCAUUGGUCGGACUCUCAGGGGGAGGUAAAUCUACUGUGGCUGCUUUGCUGGAAAGAUUUUAUGACAUUGAUGAAGGAAAGAUUAGUAUAGAUGGAGUCAGUUUGAAAGAACUGGACCCCACAUGGUUGAGGGGUAAAGCUAUAGGAUUUAUUAAUCAGGAACCAGUGCUGUUUGCCACUUCUGUCAUGGAGAACAUCAGAUAUGGCCGGCCAGAUGCCACGGAUGUUGAGGUGAUUGAGGCUGCCUCUAUGGCUAAUGCUGAUGGCUUUAUCCGGUCUUUUCCUGAGGGGUACGAUACCGUCCUAGGUGAGCGAGGGGUUACGGUCUCUGGGGGACAAAAACAGAGAAUCGCCAUAGCCCGGGCCCUCAUCAAGAACCCCUCCAUACUGGUGCUGGACGAGGCCACAAGUGCACUGGACGCAGAGUCAGAGCAGAUAGUGCAGGCAGCCCUAGAUAAUGUUGUCAAAGGUAGAACCGUUUUAAUCAUUGCACACAGACUGAGUACUAUACGAGAUGCUGACAUUAUAGCAGUUGUGUCAAAUGGUCAGAUAGUCGAACAAGGGAGUCAUGAUGAGCUAAGGAAAAAGAAGGGUCUAUACUGGGAGCUGAUCCGUAAACAGGAGCUAGAGGAGGAGAUCCAAACCCACCAGUGGGGCCGUCCUGAGUUCUAGACAACGCCUAGUUAUAGAGUGGGCAGGCCUAAGUUCCGGAAUGCACCAAGUUGUAAAAUGGGCUGAUCUAAGAAUAAGACUGUGUCCAGAUAUCAAAUUGGCAGACCCAAUCUUUCAGAAAGAGAGAGAAAGAGAGAGAGAGAGAUUAAUUUUAAGGUAAUUCAGAAUAACCUUAAAAUUAAUUGAAUUAUUCUAGACUAACAAUUGGGGAUGGGGGUUGGGGGCAUUGAAUGAUAUUAGUUCUAGCGGAAUCAUGUGAUUGAGUUCAGAACUUUAUAAAUGCAUCCAUUAAAUGGGGACAUGAUUAUAUUGAAUGGUGCUACAGGGUUCUAAAUCAGCCAUUGUGCACAUAUAUUAAAUGGAAUAUGAUAUGAUAGCCUGAGUUUUAGCCAACAGGAGACAAGGUUUUUAAUUCACACAGUGCAUAUUACAAUGUGUACAAGAAAGAUUGAGACCCAAGUUUGAACUAGAAGAACUGUGAAUAGCCUCUAGAUGGAAUGUGAUUAAUUCCUUGAAAAUGGCAAAUAAAUUUGAUGUUUGUAUCUAUAAUUAUGGAAGUCAAUUUUUUGCAAGAUAAUUUUACAGAUAUUAAAUUCUUGCACAGAUUCUUUUGUACAUUAAGGUGAAAUGAAUGUUAUUUGAAGAAGUGAUUUAAUGAUUAUUUGUUGUGAUAAAUGUGACUAU